rnacentral:rRNA from 1 species
CAAUAGCGUAUAUUAAAGUUGUUGCAGUUAAAAGCUCGUAGUUGGAUUUCUGGUGGGAGCACGGGUCGGCCCUCACGGGUUGGUACUGUUGUUGCGUCCUGCCGUUUCGGAGGGAAUGGCCUCGCUAUUAAGUUAGCGUGGUCGGGAACUCUGUCGUUUACUGUGAAAAAUUAGAGUGUUCAAAGCAGGCCUUCGCUGUGAAUACAUUAGCAUGGAAUAAUAAGAUAGGACUGUAGUGCUAUUUUGUUGGUUUGCGUACUAUGGUAAUGAUUAAUAGGGAUAGUUGGGGGUAUUCGAUAUUCAAUUGUCAGAGGUGAAAUUGCUUGGAAUUUAUGGAAGUAUGAACUACUGCGAAAGCAAUU